AUCUAGCUGACGAGUCCUAAAUAUGACGAAACGCGUGUCUCGAAAU
rnacentral:hammerhead_ribozyme from 1 species